CCAUCGGUGGUUAAGUGGUAGAAUGCUCGCCUGCCACGCGGGCGGACCGGGUUCGAUUCCCGGCCGAUGCA
rnacentral:tRNA from 1 species